ACGGGGGGGGCAAGCGUUGUUCGGAAUUACUGGGCGUAAAGGGCGCGUAGGCGGUUGGAUAAGUCAGCUGUGAAAACCACGGGCUUAACUCGUGGCCUGCAGUUGAGACUGUCUGGCUUGAGUGUGGGAGAGGAGAGUGGAAUUCCUGGUGUAGCGGUGAAAUGCGUAGAUAUCAGGAGGAACACCGGUGGCGAAGGCGGCUCUCUGGACCACAACUGACGCUGAGGCGCGAAAGCUAGGGGAGCAAACAGGA
rnacentral:rRNA from 1 species